rfam:Trichobilharzia regenti genome assembly, scaffold: TRE_scaffold0026493
GAACUCUGGUGUCUCCUCAUUUGCGGAUAGAUCUUUCGCCUUUUACUAAAGAUUUCCGUGGGGAGGCACAAUACAAUGAGUCUUGCCUCAUUUUUUUCAGCUCUGUCUUCGGACGGAGU